rnacentral:rRNA from 1 species
GGGACUGAGACACGGCCCAGACUACUACGGGAGGCAGCAGUGGGGAAUUUUGCGCAAUGGGCGAAAGCCUGACGCAGCAACGCCGCGUGAGCGAAGAAGGCCCUUGGGUCGUAAAGCUCUUUUCUGGGGGAAGAUGAUGACGGUACCCCAGGAAUAAGCACCGGCUAACUCCGUGCCAGUAGCCGCGGUAAUACGGAGGGUCCGAGGGUUAUCCGGAAUUUUUGG